GAUGAACGCUGGCGGCGUGCCUAAUACAUGCAAGUCGAGCGAACAGACGAGGAGCUUGCUCCUCUGACGUUAGCGGCGGACGGGUAAGUAACACGUGGAUAACCUACCUAUAAGACUGGGAUAACUUCGGGAAACCGGAGCUAAUACCGGAUAAUAUAUUGAACCGCAUGGUUCAAUAGUGAAAGACGGUUUUGCUGUCACUUAUAGAUGGAUCCGCGCCGCAUUAGCUAGUUGGUAAGGUAACGGCUUACCAAGGCAACGAUGCGUAGCCGACCUGAGAGGGUGAUCGGCCACAGUGGAACUGAGACACGGUCCAGACUCCUACGGGAGGCAGCAGUAGGGAAUCUUCCGCAAUGGGCGAAAGCCUGACGGAGCAACGCAGCGUGAGUGAUGAAGGUCUUCGGAUCGUAAAACUCUGUUAUUAGGGAAGAACAAAUGUGUAAGUAACUAUGCACGUCUUGACGGUACCUAAUCAGAAAGCCACGGCUAACUACGUG
rnacentral:rRNA from 1 species